UACGUAGGGUGCAAGCGUUGUCCGGAAUUAUUGGGCGUAAAGAGCUCGUAGGCGGUUUGUCGCGUCGGCCGUGAAAACUUGGGGCUUAACUCCAAGCUUGCGGUCGAUACGGGCAGACUUGAGUUCGGCAGGGGAGACUGGAAUUCCUGGUGUAGCGGUGAAAUGCGCAGGUAUCAGGAGGAACACCGGUGGCGAAGGCGGGUCUCUGGGCCGAUACUGACGCUGAGGAGCGAAAGCGUGGGGAGCGAACAGG
rnacentral:rRNA from 1 species